UACGUAGGGGGCAAGCGUUGUCCGGAUUUAUUGGGCGUAAAGAGCGUGUAGGCGGCUUUGCAAGUCCGUUGUGAAAACUCGAGGCUCAACCUCGAGACGCCGGUGGAAACUGCAAAGCUAGAGUCCGGAAGAGGAGAGUGGAAUUCCUGGUGUAGCGGUGAAAUGCGCAGAUAUCGGGAGGAACACCAGUGGCGAAGGCGACUACCUGGCCUGUUCUUGACGCUGAGGCGCGAAAGCUAGGGGAGCAAACGGG
rnacentral:rRNA from 1 species